UCACUGAGAGACUACAUACUGGACUCUGGCCCUGGGGGCUGCCUGAUGGCCUAUAACCAGUGUGUGGAGGCCCUGGGAGAGCUGCGCAGUUACCACAUCAACAUGGUGGCCAGAUACAUUAUUUCCGCUGCCAGCAAGGCCAGGAGCAGGAUGCUGACUCGUCUCUCACCCCAUGCCUUGGAAGACAGGGGCACUGGGGGCACUGCUGUGCUGAGCUUCUUGAAGAGUGUCAGGGAGAAGACCAUGGAGGCCAUCCUGUGUCCUGGCGCUUAGCAGUCACGUCCUGCAUCCUAGUGCUUAGCUGUUCUCACCCUGCAUCCUGGAACUUAGCUGUUCUCAUCCUGCAUCCUAGUGCUUACCUGUUCUUACCCUGCAUCCUGGAACUUAGCUGUUCUCAUCC
rnacentral:lncRNA from 1 species